rnacentral:pre_miRNA from 11 species
UGUGCAGUGGGAAGGGGGGCCGAUACACUGUACGAGAGUGAGUAGCAGGUCUCACAGUGAACCG